AUGGAAUCAUCACUUAACUUCCCUUGCAGGGUAUUUAAUACAGAAGAACCAGCUCCUGUGCCUAUCAAAAAUUCCAGUUUUCCACUUCCCAGUGUGGCUGUUACCACAGGCUCUGCUGGGGAUGAAACCUCUGCUCCCCUCCACAGGUACCCAGCCAUUGGCAUGAGGGGGUUUGGAGAAGUCCUGGGUUUUAGGCAGAUGAGAUAUAACCGGGACAAGCCCCCACAGUGCUCUCACCCUGGUGCUUGCACCCCGGUGCUCACACCCCCAGCGUGGAGCUGCUCAUUCCCAGCCUUGUCCAGGCAGAUGAGAUAUAACCGGGACAAGCCCCCACAGUGCUCUCACCCUGGUGCUUGCACCCCGGUGCUCACACCCCCAGCGUGGAGCUGCUCAUUCCCAGCCUUGUCCAGAGUGAACCAAGAGAAAAGGACAAGGGAGACGAGAAAGAAGGACAUGAUUCCGUUACUUGGUACAGUAACUGCCUGCGUGGCUGAGAAAGGUUUGGAAAUGUUGUUCAAUGAAUUAAGAAGGAAGAAAACAGAAAGUGCAUGGGCCCCAGAAUCCAUGUUGAAGAAGGAAUACCAGAACCUGUCCCACAGAGUUGAAACUCUGGAAAAAGAUUUACAGGGAGGUCUGGAGACCAUAAAGCAUGAGUUUAAGGAUCUCAGAGCAGAGCUGCAGAAGAACCAAGGAAAUAAGGAGGAGGAUAUUGCAUAUCCUCUGGAAUCCUUCUUGAAGAAGAAAAACCAGGAGCUGUCCCACAAAGUUGCAUCUCUAGAAAAAGAAUCCCAGGAGGGUCUGGAAGCCAUAAAUCAUGAGCUUAAGGAUAUCAGAGCGGAGCUGGAGAAGAACCAAAGAAAGAAGGAAGAGGAUAUUGUAUUGGCCCUGAAAUCCUUCUUGAGGAAGAAAGACCGGCAGCUCUCCCAUAGAUUUGAAACUCUUGAAAAAGAUUUCCUUGAAGGUCUGGAGACCAUAAAGCAUGAGCUUAACAAUGUCAGAGCAGAACUGAAGAAGAAUCAAGGAAACAAGGAGUAGGAAAGUGCAUGAGCCCUUGUGGGAACAGAUGACUUCUGGACAGCAAAUCCAUAUGAUUAUGCAUAGGCUAAUUUAUUGUUUACUUUUAACCGUACAUGUGCAUUCUAAAACUACUGUUCACGCUGUCACACAUUUUUUGAUUGGUGUUUCUAUCUUUUCCGUGUGCCGUGCACGGGUUUUGUAGGUUAAAUGAUUGGUUGAAGUCCAGAGCAUCAACACCCACCUUCAUCUUGUCUCUUCGAAUCUUGGUCUUCUGUUUUUCAGCUACUUCUCUCUCAGUUUAGCACAAUUUAUGUUUCAGUAGCCUUGAAGAGUUCCAGAAAGUUUGAUUGACUGCAGCAAAGCACCUAAAAAUGGCUCCUCCAGUGUACCUGUUUUAAGCAAUAGUCUAAAGAAAAAAAUGUAGAAAAACAGAUAAAUAUAGUUUCGCUGGUGCACUUGAUACAGCUGAUGGCCUAAACUGUUCAGAUACAUUGCUACAAGCCCUGGAAUGCAGCAUGGAGAUGAUAGUCCACCAACUUUUGCCUCAAGCUGUGAAUUGAAUUCAAGCUAUGGUACUGUGGAAGGGGCUGACAGCUGUUCUUUGAGCCAGAGUUAACUGAUAAGGUUUACUUCUGAAAGCAGUUUUACCAAGGCCAUUGGCAUGGAGAAGAGAAGAAGAAGAUGUGAAAGUUAUUUGAAAACAGUGGUGAAGACUGCUUUGCAACAAUGAGCGUUGUGUUGAUCAGUUGUAACCAAUGAAUAAAGUGUAAACUUCGUGUAGUGUAUAAAACACAGAACGCUGUUGUAAUAAACAGAAAGUGUCCUUCUGAAGUGUGCUGCAUCCCUCCCUUUGUGUGAUAUCCCUCUCAACAGCAACAUGAUACAAGAGUUACAGGUGAGACAGUGAUACCUACAGAGGCUGAUCUGGAAUAGAGGCUAGACAGAGUUAAAGUCAUAAAGUAGUUAUUUAAAGGAUACACCUUGGGCAGUACAAGAGCCUGGCUGUGGCUCAAGUUGC
rnacentral:lncRNA from 1 species